GGGUCAGUAGGUUGGUCGUGCCACCGGUACGUACUGGACUCACAGAUUCCUCCUUCCUGAAGAACCGUAAUGCCAUUAAUUUGGUGUUGCGGGGAAACAGGACUGUUACUUUGAAAAAAUUAGAGUGUUUAAAGCAAGCUAACGCUUGAAUACAUUAGCAUGGAAUAAUGAAAUAGGACGAUCGAUCCUAUUUUGUUGGUUUCUAGGAUUGACGUA
rnacentral:rRNA from 1 species